rnacentral:rRNA from 1 species
AGUGAACGCUGGCGGUAGGCCUAACACAUGCAAGUCGAACGGCAGCACAGUAAGAGCUUGCUCUUACGGGUGGCGAGUGGCGGACGGGUGAGGAAUACAUCGGAAUCUACUUUUUCGUGGGGGAUAACGUAGGGAAACUUACGCUAAUACCGCAUACGACCUACGGGUGAAAGCAGGGGAUCUUCGGACCUUGCGCGAUUGAAUGAGCCGAUGUCGGAUUAGCUAGUUGGCGGGGUAAAGGCCCACCAAGGCGACGAUCCGUAGCUGGUCUGAGAGGAUGAUCAGCCACACUGGAACUGAGACACGGUCCAGACUCCUACGGGAGGCAGCAGUGGGGAAUAGUGGACAAUGGGCUCAAGCCUGAUCCAGCCAUACCGCGUGGGUGAAGAAGGCCUGCGGGUUGUAAAGCCCUUUUGUUGGGAAAGAAAAGCAGCAGGUUAAUACCCCGCUGUUCUGACGGUACCCAAAGAAUAAGCACCGGCUAACUUC